rnacentral:rRNA from 1 species
CCUACGGGAGGCAGCAGUGAGGAAUAUUGGUCAAUGGGCGCAGGCCUGAACCAGCCAAGUCGCGUGAGGGAAGACUGCCCUAUGGGUUGUAAACCUCUUUUAUAAGGGAAGAAUAAUGACUACGUGUAGUCAGAUGCCCGUACCUUAUGAAUAAGCAUCGGCUAACUCCGUGCCAGCAGCCGCGGUAAUACGGCGGAUCCGAGUGUUAUCCGGAUUUCUUGGGUUUAAAGGGAGCGUAGGUGGAUUGUUAAGUCAGGUGGGAAAGUUUGGGGCUCAACCGUAAAAUUGCAGUUGAAACUGGCAGGCUUGAGUACAGGAGAGGUGGGCGGAAUGCGUGGUGUAGCGGUGAAAGGCUUAGAUAUCACGAAGAACGCCGAUUGCGAAGGCAGUUCACUGGACUGCAACUGACACUGAGGCUCGAAAGUGUGGGUAUCAAACAGGAUUAGAUACCCCAGUAGUC